rnacentral:rRNA from 1 species
UACGUAGGGUGCGAGCGUUGUCCGGAAUUAUUGGGCGUAAAGGGCUCGUAGGCGGUUUGUCGCGUCAGGAGUGAAAACUCAGAGCUUAACCCUGAGCCUGCUUCCGAUACGGGCAGACUAGAGGUAUGCAGGGGAGAACGGAAUUCCUGGUGUAGCGGUGAAAUGCGCAGAUAUCAGGAGGAACACCGGUGGCGAAGGCGGUUCUCUGGGCAUUACCUGACGCUGAGGAGCGAAAGUGUGGGGAGCGAACAGG